GACGAACGCUGUUUGGCGGGCUUAACACAUGCAAGUCGAACGGAAAGGCCCUGCUUUUGUGGGGUGCUCGAGUGGCGAACGGGUGAAUAACACGUGAGUAACCUGCCCUUGACUUUGGGAUAACUUCAGGAAACUGGGGCUAAUACCGGAUAGGAGCUCCUGCUGCAUGGUGGGGGUUGGAAAGUUUCGGCGGUUGGGGAUGGACUCGCGGCUUAUCAGCUUGUUGGUGGGGUAGUGGCUUACCAAGGCUUUGACGGGUAGCCGGCCUGAGAGGGUGACCGGCCACAUUGGGACUGAGAUACGGCCCAGACUCCUACGGGAGGCAGCAGUGGGGAAUAUUGCACAAUGGGCGGAAGCCUGAUGCAGCAACGCCGCGUGCGGGAUGACGGCCUUCGGGUUGUAAACCGCUUUCGCCUGUGACGAAGCGUGAGUGACGGUAAUGGGUAAAGAAGCACCGGCUAACUACGUGCCAGCAGCCGCGGUGAUACGUAGGGUGCGAGCGUUGUCCGGAUUUAUUGGGCGUAAAGGGCUCGUAGGUGGUUGAUCGCGUCGGAAGUGUAAUCUUGGGGCUUAACCCUGAGCGUGCUUUCGAUACGGGUUGACUUGAGGAAGGUAGGGGAGAAUGGAAUUCCUGGUGGAGCGGUGGAAUGCGCAGAUAUCAGGAGGAACACCAGUGGCGAAGGCGGUUCUCUGGGCCUUUCCUGACGCUGAGGAGCGAAAGCGUGGGGAGCGAACAGGCUUAGAUACCCUGGUAGUCCACGCUGUAAACGGUGGGUACUAGGUGUGGGGUCCAUUCCACGGGUUCCGUGCCGUAGCUAACGCUUUAAGUACCCCGCCUGGGGAGUACGGCCGCAAGGCUAAAACUCAAAGGAAUUGACGGGGCCCCGCACAAGCGGCGGAGCAUGCGGAUUAAUUCGAUGCAACGCGUAGAACCUUACCUGGGUUUGACAUGGAUCGGGAGUGCUCAGAGAUGGGUGUGCCUCUUUUGGGGUCGGUUCACAGGUGGUGCAUGCCUGUCGUCAGCUCGUGUCGUGAGAUGUUGGGUUAAGUCCCGCAACGAGCGCAACCCUUGUUCACUGUUGCCAGCACGUUAUGGUGGGGACUCAGUGGAGACCGCCGGGGUCAACUCGGAGGAAGGUGGGGAUGACGUCAAGUCCUCAUGCCCCUUAUGUCCAGGGCUUCACGCAUGCUACAAUGGCUGGUACAGAGAGUGGCGAGCCUGUGAGGGUGAGCGAAUCUCGGAAAGCCGGUCUCAGUUCGGAUUGGGGUCUGCAACUCGACCUCAUGAAGUCGGAGUCGCUAGUAAUCGCAGAUCAGCAACGCUGCGGUGAAUACGUUCCCGGGGCU
rnacentral:rRNA from 1 species